GACGAACGCUGGCGGCGUGCUUAACACAUGCAAGUCGAACGGUGAAGCGCCUUCCUUUUUGGUGGGUGUGGAUGAGUGGCGAACGGGUGAGUAACACGUGAGUAACCUGCCCCCUUCUUCUGGAUAACCGCAUGAAAGUGUGGCUAAUACGGGAUAUUCUGGGUCUGUCGCAUGAUGGGUCUGGGAAAGAUAUUGUUUCGGUGGGGGAUGGGCUCGCGGCCUAUCAGCUUGUUGGUGGGGUGAUGGCCUACCAAGGCGGUGACGGGUAGCCGGCCUGAGAGGGUGGACGGUCACACUGGGACUGAGGCACGGCCCAGACUCCUACGGGGGGCAGCAGUGGGGAAUAUUGCACAAUGGGCGCAAGCCUGAUGCAGCGACGCCGCGUGCGGGAUGGAGGCCUUCGGGUUGUGAACCUCUUUCGCCAGUGAAGCAGGCCUGCCUCGUUUGUGGGUGGGUUGACGGUAGCUGGAUAAGAAGCGCCGGCUAACUACGUG
rnacentral:rRNA from 1 species